rnacentral:rRNA from 1 species
UACGAAGGGGGCUAGCGUUGCUCGGAAUCACUGGGCGUAAAGGGUGCGUAGGCGGGUCUUUAAGUCAGAGGUGAAAGCCUGGAGCUCAACUCCAGAACUGCCUUUGAUACUGAGGAUCUCGAGUUCGGGAGAGGUGAGUGGAACUGCGAGUGUAGAGGUGAAAUGCGUAGAUAUCGGAAGGAACACCAGUGGCGAAAGCGGCUUCCUGGUCCAGCACCGACGUUCAGGCACGAAAGCGUGGGGAGCAAACAGG